CCUUACCUACUCUUGACAUCCAGAGAAGCCAGCGGAGACGCAGGUGUGCCUUCGGGAGCUCUGAGACAGGUGCUGCAUGGCUGUCGUCAGCUCGUGUUGUGAAAUGUUGGGUUAAGUCCCGCAACGAGCGCAACCCUUAUCCUUGUUUGCCAGCGAGUAAUGUCGGGAACUCCAGGGAGACUGCCGGUGAUAAACCGGAGGAAGGUGGGGACGACGUCAAGUCAUCAUGGCCCUUACGAGUAGGGCUACACACGUGCUACAAUGGCGCAUACAGAGGGCGGCGAACUUGCGAGAGUGAGCGAAUCCCAAAAAGUGCGUCGUAGUCCGGAUUGGAGUCUGCAACUCGACUCCAUGAAGUCGGAAUCGCUAGUAAUCGUAGAUCAGAAUGCUACGGUGAAUACGUUCCCGGGUCUUGACACACCGAAUCUAGAUGCAUCGCGAGUCAUGCUCCGGGGCA
rnacentral:rRNA from 1 species